AUCAUGGGUUGGAGCUGUAUCAUCCUCUUUCUGGUAGCAACAGCUACAGGUGUGCACUCCCAGGUCCAGCUGCAGCAGUCUGUGGCUGAGCUGGUGAGGCCUGGGGCCUCAGUGAUGAUGUCCUGCAUGGCUUCUGGUUACACAUUCACUGACUACUACAUGCACUGGGUGAAACAGAGUCAUGGAAAGAGCCUAGAGUGGAUUGGAUUUAUUAUUCCGUUCAGUGGUGGUACUAGCUACAAUCAAAAGUUCAAGGGCAAGGCCAUAUUGACUGUAGACAAAUCCUCCAGCACAGCCAACAUGGAGCUUAGCAGAUUGACAUCUGAGGAUUCUUUGGUCUAUUACUGUGCAAAACACAGUGAAGCAACCACAUCCUGA